rnacentral:rRNA from 1 species
UACGAAGGGGGCUAGCGUUGCUCGGAAUCACUGGGCGUAAAGCGCACGUAGGCGGAUCUUUAAGUCAGGGGCGAAAUCCUGGAGCUCAACUCCAGAACUGCCUUUGAUACUGGGGAUCUCGAGUCCGGGAGAGGUGAGUGGAACUCCGAGUGUAGAGGUGAAAUUCGUAGAUAUUCGGAAGAACACCAGUGGCGAAGGCGGCUCACUGGCCCGGUACUGACGCUGAGGUGCGAAAGCGUGGGGAGCAAACAGG